CAAAUCCCAUCAGCUCCACACAACCACUCAAGACCACAGAAAACUUUAUGCCGCCUUGCCUCCAUCCUGCUCCUAUCCCUCUCCGAAUAUCUGUUAUCUUCCGCCACCACUCCUCCAGCAUCACAAAACCCUUGAUGACUCUGACCCUAAAAGCGAGUUAUACUUCCAGCUUCCAUCCGACUUCCCCUGUUCUCGUUAUUCACGAUGUCGAUCUCAUCGCUCUUUUCUCUUGCUAGCGUCAUAACAUCCUCACUGUUGUAGCAAGGUAGCGACAUACCUCAUCAUUUACUCCUUAGCACUUAGCAACACCGAAGAUGGUAAGUUCUGAUUUUUGAUCAAUUAUUUUUGGGUAAUGUGGGAGUUCGAAUUUCAUUGUGUGCAAUUUUGUCUUCUGGCCCAUCUCUUGCCCGGUAGCAUGAAUUUUUCUUAAACUAUUGUAUUUUUAGUUCUCAAAUAUCUAUCAAUUUGCCAGCGCUUUAGUUUCCAAAUGUUUAUUGGAAAUAUAUUCUCAUCAAGUGGGAAGCAUCACAUGGAACGUCAUCUUGUUGAUAUAUUUAGCAGGUCCUUGUUUUAUUUUGUUACAAUAUGUUUUAUCUCAAGCAAUGUGAUAGCGAGAUGAUGAAGAAGAGGUCGUUAGUUGUUUGUAUCCUAAUGACAUAUAUACAAUGAUAAUAAAAACUUGCUUGUAUUAAUUUACUAGUAUAUAUCACCCUUGAUUUAAUAGUUUUGAUUAAUUCUUUAUGGUAUGAUGGAUACUAGUUGUAGAAGAUGAUAACUUUUGUGAUUUAUUUCUUUUUGCACAAAAUAUGUACCACAAUUGAUAAAUUUUGUGAUUUAUUUCUCACUUUAUGGAGUUUGGAUUUUGAUUUAACGAAGUCUUCAUUUUGAUUUUAUGUGACAUCCCCAAUUUCACGGUCAGAAAAGACCGAUUUAUUUAUGCUUAUUUUGAAAUCAAAGUUUCCUUAAAAGAAUAAUAUUGCGGAAUAUGUUCCCAAAAACAUGAUAAUGAUAUUAUUAAAACAUUUUCCAAUAAACGUAUUUAUAUUAAAACCUUGAGAUGUCAAUAUGUCAUUGUCGAUACAGUACAUAAGCAUAAAUGAAACAAUACAUACCUUACACUACUUAGGGGCUGUUUGAUUUGGUGCUGACAGGGUCCGAUCAAAUGUUUUGGUCUGACUCGGUCCGGUCAGGGUGUUUGAUAUGCUUCUGACCUAGGCCACACGUUUGACUCAGCCCAUAAAAACAACUAUCUCGAUCCUUUAAAAAAACAUGGUUGAUUGAAAACUUACCCACAUUUGGCCUUCUCUAUCUAGCCCUACACAUGAUUUCUUACUUACCCCCGUUACGAUUUCUUCUAGAUCCUCCUCGUACCUCCGGCCUCAACCUUUUCCUCCUUUCCAGCUCCACCUCGCCGGCAACCUCCUCCGACUUCGUCCUCUCUAAUGCUAGACCUCUAUCGCAGCUUCACUUUCGCCACUGCUUUAGCGACGUCGACUUCCUCCAGUAUUCCAUAGCAGCUUCACGUCGUCACUACACCAUCGUCUUCAUUAGGUAAGGUCAAUUUUCUUCAAGCUUUUUUUCCUUAUCUAAAUCGAUUUCUUGUAAUUUUUUGGUCGUCAGAGUUGAUUUUUGGUUGUUGAUUGGUUUCAUGUGUGUGAUUUCUCCAUCUAAUUGAUUUUAAGCAUCUAGUCGAUAGAGUGAAUACGAUAAUUCUCAGUGAAUAUGUUUGAUACCCUUUCCUUGAAUUUUAGGUUUUCUGUUUUGAGCCUCUUUGUUUAUUGUACAAUGUAAGCUAUAAAUUUAUGACUUUUGGAAUUGUAGAUCUAUUUGACUUUAAUUUUGGUUUUAAAUGUUUAAUGGUUUCUGAAUGAAUCUUUUUUACUUUAUGCAGCUUAUUGAUUAAUUUCAAUGAAGGAUAACAGCUCAGGAGACUGGGAUAAUGAAAUUUGAUGACUGGUACAAGGAAAUAGUUCAAGAAUACAUCAAUUUAAUGAAAACAAAAUCACUAUUUAUGCAUCAUGUUCCCUAGAUUAGUGGUAAUGUUGUCAUUGAUUAUUUUUUGAAGGUUUUGGUAAUGAGAUAGUUGAUAACUUUUUUCUUCAAUUCUUUAUAAAUUUACAUUAUUUUUUCAAUUUUUUGGAUCAAAUUGAGAAAAUUUAU
rnacentral:lncRNA from 1 species